GUAUGCGCGUGCGCGACUGAGUGAGUGAGAGUGCGUGCAUGUGUGCGUGUGAGUGUGCAUGUUUGUGUGCGUGGCAAUGUGGAAUAACAUCUUAUUAGGCUUUUUUCUGUUUAAUCAGGAACUUGACCAUAUCGUAACUUCUUAAUGGAUUUUAGUACUAACUAGAAUAUUGGAAUUGUCAUGCCACUUGGAAAUAACUGCUCUCAUGACAAUUGUAUUGACUAAGUUAUAUCUUGUCUUUUAAAAAGCUAUAUAAACCUUUGCAGUUUAAGUAUUUGGCACAAUUUGAAUAUUUAUUAGGAUUAAACAUACAUAUGGCAGGCAAGACUUUUCCGAUAGUGUUUAUAAUAUGUAGAUUUCAAUUAUUUUGAGCUCUAGAAUUGAAAAUCAUAGUCCAUUUCUAGUAGAAACUGAGGAGCAUUUCACAGGUCAAUCAAAUUAUAUUCAAUGUGAUAUUCUUGUUGGGCUGUUUCCAAGUGCAAGUUUCGUGUUUGUUGGCACAGCAAAUGCUAGCUUUCUUGAUGAAUCAUAGUGGCAAGGCCCCAGAGGUGUUGCAGUUGUACACUAACACUAUUCCAAUUCCAAGGAAGGGGCCAACAAUCAGUCCAAUGAUUUUUAUGACACGGAGGCAUUAAUGAAGCAAGCAAGAGCUAACAGGGAGCAGAACCACUCUCCUGAUGGUUGGGGUUUUGGACAUCUGUAGGAUGGGGAAAUUCAAGGGGUAUAACUUAGUUCUUAUAAAUAUGCGCGGAGGUGGUAUUAAUUCUUACGUUUAAAGAAUUUUGCUGGUCCUGAUUUUCUCUUGGGUUGCCCCCAUUUUCUUUUGUAUCUUAGUUAAUGGAUUAAGAGACGAAUCAAUGAUUUAAUCAGGUUUGAUAAUUUUAUGUAUCUAUGUAUCUAUACCUUGAUGUUAUCCAAUCAGAAUUAUUUAGUUCUUAGCACAUCUAAUCCAUGUAUAGGAUUUUUUUUUUUGGCCAGAAUAA